rnacentral:siRNA from 1 species
GAAUUUAACCUGGUGUGGAUCAUA